rnacentral:rRNA from 1 species
UUCCGGUUGAUCCUGCCGGAGGCUACCGCUAUUGGAGUUCGAUUAAGCCAUGCGAGUCGCGAGUCUUAGGGACUCGGCGUACCGCUCAGUAACACGUGGGUAACCUGCCCUAUGCUGGGGGAUAACCUCGGGAAACUGAGAAUAAUACCCCAUAGUUCACCACGCCUGGAACGGUGGGUGGAUCAAAGCCCCGGCGGCAUAGGAUGGGCCUGCGGCGUAUCAGGUUGUAGGGGGUGUAAUGUACCCUCUAGCCCUCUACGCGUACGGGUGUUGAGAGACAUAGCCCGGAGAUGGAUUCUGAGACACGAAUCCAGACCCUACGGGGUGCAGCAGGCGCGAAAACUUGGCAAUGCGAGAAAUCGUGACCAGGGAACUCCAAGUGCAUCGGGUAAGACCGAUGCUUUUCUUGACUCUUCAAAGGUCUUGGAAUAAGGGGUGGGUAAGGACGGUGCCAGCCGCCGCGGUAAUACCGGCGCCCCAAGUGGUAGUCGCUUUUAUUGGGCCUAAAACGUCCGUAGCCGGUCUGGUACAUUCGUGGGUAAAUCAACCAGCUCAACUGGUUGAAUUCUGCGAGCACGGCCAGACUUGGGACCGGGAGAGGUGUGGGGUACUCUCAGGGUAGGGGUAAAAUCCUGUCAUCCUGAGAGGACCACCUGUUGCGAAGGCGCCACACUAGAACGGAUCCGACGGUCAGGGACGAAGCCUAGGGGCACGAACCGGAUUAGAUACCCGGGUAGUCCUAGGUGUAAACGCUGUGGACUUGAUGUUGGGAGUGCUCCGAGCACCCUCAGUGUCGAAGCGAAGGUGAUAAGUCCACUGCCUGGGGAGUACGGUCGCAAGGCUGAAACUUAAAGGAAUUGGCGGGGGAGCACUGCAACCUGAGGAUUGUGCGGUUUAAUUGGAUUCAACGCCGG